GUGCCGGGCGCGGGCGCGAGGCGACGAGGACGCCCAGGCCGUGCUGGACGCGGAGGCCGAGGCCCCGGGGCGCGCGGACCCCGAGGGCGCACAGGGCCCGCACCCGGCCUCGCGCCCGGAGCCCCAGCCACAGGAGGAGGCGGCGCCCGGGGAGGCGCGCGGGAAGCGGCGCCGACGGCGGCUGAAGAAGUGCGGCAAGAACGUGGGCAAGGUCGUCACCAAGGGCUGCCGAUACCUCGUCCUUGGCCUGCAGAGCUUUGCCGCUGCCUACUCCUCCCCGUUCGCAGUGGGCACCAGCGUGGUGUCCCUUGUGCGCUAGAGGACCCUGCGCCUUUCGGACUUGGACUCGCAGAGCACGAGCACUGAGCACCGGAUGAGAAGCUGCCUUCCUUGUUGGGUCGGAUGGGUCAAGCGCCAGCCAGCCUGCCGCCUCCAGCGGGCUGCCAGACACUGGCCUGAGGGGCCCACCUGGGGCCAGGGGAGUUGGUCCCUGGGACACUCAUCCUUCGGGGAAGGCGGCAGGGUGGGCUGGAGACUGAUUUGGGCAGGGUGGGCUGGAGACUGAUUUGAGCAGCGUGGGCAGCCGAUGGCCGCUCCAGAGCAGGAAUCUCCUGCACAGGGCGCGGGCUCCCGGGCCGCCCAGGGCCCUGGCUUCCUGACUUCUGAGGCUGAGCAAAGCAGCUGUUUAUUUCUCAAGUCAUUCUCUCCCACCCUGUCACUCCACCACUCUGUCAAGGGAGUUUCAUCACAGGCUCAGGAAGAGGGAGGGAGGGAGGGAAGGAAGGAAGGAAAGGACAGCCUCCCUUUGAAGGCGCUGAGGAUUGCCUCCUGCAUUCUCAGCUGGGCCACAGAAGGGGGAGGAAGCCUCUCCUCGGUGCCUGGACCCUGGGAGAGUGGGGGGCACAGGAAGCUGGGACGGGUGAGGAUUCAGAAGAGGAGCCAGAAAGUAGCAGACGGUUGGAGGAUGUGGAAGAGGGCAGGAAGGGUGUCAGAGGAGCAGCAGGGGCAGGUGGGGAAGUCCAGUGUCGGGGGGCCCAGGCAGCUGGGGCUGUAGUUCUGGGGGACCGGGGGGGCUGCCAGGGCCCAUGGCGGGGCUCGGCCCUCUGUGGCCCGCAGGCUCACACUCGGGUGUGGAGCGCCCUGUCCUGCCCUGUGCAACCAGCUGACGCGGACUCCCUGGAUCCCGAGGUUGGGGUGCUUGAGGUCCUGGCCCUGUCAGCGCAGCCUGCACUCUGAGUUGCUUGAGGGAGGUGGAGGGUGGAGAAGAUCCCUCUGCCCUCUGCUGACCCCUGCGACAGGCUGAGUUCCAGCUGUGCCCAGAAUAUCCAGAGGCCUGGAUGCUCCUGCCUCAGCCACCCAGCCCAGCCAGGGCCCGCCCGGGGGGCAGGGAAGCCGUAGAGGGACGGAUGGAUGGAUGGGCUGGUGGAGAAAACGGUGACUGGAGGUGAGGUAGGGUAGAAGGAAUGAAGCCAGGGAAACGAGGCAAAGACCAGAAUUUUAAAAUUGUGUUUUUCAGAAAAACUUCAGCUUUAGGACACAAAAGUUGCUCAAGCCUUUUUUCCUUUCAGGAAACUCAAUUUUUUUUUUUUUUGGUACCGGGGAUUGAACUUGGGAACCACUGAGCUCAAUCCCCGGCCCAAGGAAACUCAAAUUAUUUAUCCCCAAGGGCCGUAAAGAUACAAUGAGCCUGUAAAUUGGGCUUCCAGGGGCCUGUAUUUUUUACUUUUUUUUUUUAGGACAGGGUCUCACCAUGGAGUUCAGGCCAGCCUUGGACUCAUUAAGCAACCCAGGCUGGCCCCGAAUUCAUGGAAAUCCUCCUGCCUCAGUGUCCAAGUGCUCGGAUUACAGCUGUGUGCCGCUGUGCCUGGAUUUUACUUGUUUACUAUACUUUCUCCCACAAACUUCUACCUUCAGGGAGGCAGCAGUGUUAGUGGGCGGUAGAUCCCAACUUCGGGCUUGUGGAAAUCGUGUUCUGAUGAGCAACGUGACAGACAGUAGCAACACACAUCCCAGGCACCCCUCUCGGCCCGCAGGCCCCAUAACUGCGCCCAGCUCCGACCAUAGGCACCCCCCCCCUCCAGGACUCGCAGGCUGUGUGUGUCUUUCAAUGUACGCUUUUAAAAUGUUUGUCUAAUAAAUUCCUUCGUGCCUCUUCUAACAUGUCCUGAAAAUUCCUUUUCCAAGCUGGAGUCAGUAGGGGUACAGCUUAGUCCUCGGGUAAGGCUUGGGGGUCUCCCGGGACCCCAUGCUGCAUCACAGACACGGAUCCUGCGUUGGCCAGUGCUGCAGGUCAUGUGCACACAUGGGAGAUCACCGAGGGCAGAGUGUGGAGCAGAGAAGGACCUCAGGGCCCAGGGCCUGCUGGCCCCCUGAGGGAAGCAGGACCCCUGCACCAGGUCCCCCGGUGAGUAGGGUGUCGCCUGGGGAGGGGGCCAGGGACUUCCCUGCCCCCCAAGUUGGAAAAUCCGCAAAAUCAAGCACAUCUGGCCCUGAACUUCUGAAGGUCUGGUUAAGAAUUAACUCAGAAAUGUCACAAGUCAGAGGCUCGCGGGGCUUGUCCUGAGGAUCGGGCUCACAGAGAGGACUUCACCCAGCUCCCAGUGCCCAAGGGUCACCCCCACGGCAGGGCCGAGUGCUCCCUGCGCCUACCCCAUCAAGUAGCAGGUCGCCUUUUUACUUUGCUCUCUGAUCGUCAGUACCACGGCCGCUGCCCUCCUGGGAACCGAGUUCUAGAGCUCUCCCUUGGGCCCGUGGAGCACAGCUUCUUCCCUAUCCUUUCCUCGGCCUGUGAUGUGAACAAGCUCCAGCCUGGUGUCCUGAGAGACUGGCGAGGACAGCGCCCUGGGGACUGCGGCUCUGAUGUCCUGGCCUCCCUGGCUCCACCCCCUGCGGAAUCUCGUCUCUGGCCCCAGCUUUGGUUCCUGGCCUGGAAACCUGCCUGCUGUCCUCAGAGAUUUCAGCCUGUCUUGCGUUCCUUUGUCAGUAAAUUCUCUUAGUGCCCUGGCCUUGGAGGGAGGCAGGAGCCCCUGGAGCCCCCAGGUGGCUGGGGUGGGAGGGAAAGGAGAGGGAUGCGGCCUGCUGGAGGCCUGAUCUUCCCAGGCCGUCUGCUCUCCUUCCUUGGAACCUGAGGGUUGGGGCUGCAGGAGCCAGGCAGGCCGCUGAGGAGCUGAGGGCAAGGUGGGGUCUGGGGGUUGCUCACCGGAGCCCCAGAAAGGAGGGGCUGUGGGUGCUCAGCUCUGCUGGCCACCAGGCAGGGCGCCUCGCCCUGAGCCUUGCUUCCGAAGCUGAGUGCAUGUCUGCAGGGCAGACAGAAGGGUCAGCCCCCACCUCCCCCAGCAUGAGGAGCUCGGGUCAGACAGUUGGGCUGGGACCCAGAGAAGGCCUGGCCCGCAGGAGCCUCGGGACAAAGCUCGUGAGGCCUCCUGGGUCGUAACAGCACCGACCAGGACCGGGAGGCACACGCCACAGAGCCCCUGCCUUUGUGCAUUUAUUCCUUCCUCUGAUGCUGAGUUCGAGUCCUGGCUGUGUCUUGGGCCAGAGUGGUGUCAGCAUGGGGUUCACCAGGCAGCGUGGGAUUGGCGUGGGGAUCUGUCAUGGGCAGGGGCUCUGCCUCCCUGAGCCACCGCUUCCCACCCCUCCCUCGGGUCACAGCUUGGAGGGACAGCGUCAGGAGCAGGACAGAGGGGCCCUUCCAAGGGUGAGCCCCUGUCCACCCCGAAGACAUCCCAGGAGGAAGCCAGUAGACUGGGGCUGAGGUGAGGGUGAGCAGCUCGGGACUGGAGGGAGGAUCAGGGCACAGCUCGGCCAGGGGUGUCGUGAGCGCAGAGCCCGUGGCACAGCCGCGUGGGCAAAGGUGGCUGCGGGGAGGAGGGGCAUUGUGCUGUGGGGCCAUUGAGGCCUCGCUCUCCACCCUGCUCUCAGCCGGGGCAGCGUGGUGAGGAGCAUCAGGAGGGCAGCACCGCCGUCCAGGGGUCCCCUUCCCUCCCUGGGCCGGACACGGAGGGUACAGUAGUGAGGCCGAGGUGGACGGCUCGUCCAUCCCUCCCGGGCCCACCAUCCUGAGCCCAGCGCUUCAGCUUCCUCCAGCCUCGGCCCCUGGCCCUUGGCUUUUGAUCACUGAUUCUCCUUUGCAUCUCAAAGGUGCCCUUUCGCUUCCUAUUCUGCUCCCUCUUGACCCAGGCCAUCUGCAGCCCCCUGCAGAGGAAGUAGGACAAUGAGCCUGUUUUCCCAGCACGGCAGCGGCCGGCGCGGUGCGGACUUUGUUUUCCAGCCCUGCUGCGCCCCACUCUGCUCCUCCUGGCCAAGGUCCGGGCAGGUCGGCCGCCCUCGCCCCUGCUUUUGCCUCUGCUCUGGCAGCUUCUCUGGCCAAGCUGAAGGUCCCUGCACCUUCACACCUUCCCUGAUCUCAGCGUCUGGGGCGGGCUGUCUUCAGGCGUGUGUCCCCAGGCUGUCCCCAAAAUGUUCCCAGCUUGAGGUUUGUGUGGAGGGGGCGGGCUCAGUCCCCAGGGCAGCAGGACACCAGCGGACGGGGGACACAGAGGGAGGCCUCAGGGCCCGGGGCGGUGCCUGCUCAGUGAGACGCAGAGUUGGAGCCCAGAGGGCCCUGAGCUUUAGCACCGCCCUAAGGUGGGGCCUCCCCCGCCCAUGGGAGGGUGCCCGCUCCUCCCGGUGCCCAGCUGUGGCUGCCCGGUCUGUGCCCUCUGUGUGUCCCCUGCCCCCGGACUGCCGGAGCUCAGAAGUGAGAAGAGUGAAGAUGUGUUGUGUCCAUGUGCCACCUCCCUGUGAGGACCGUGAUCAUGACAUGCGGCAGACACCUGCUAAUGAGAAUAAAAAUUAAGGAAGAAAAGGAGCUGUUUCUCCCAGGCCUCCAUGCCCGGCAGGGAGGAGCUUCGUCCCCUGCAGAGGUGGAGCAGCUCUGGACAGGGACCAGCCCGCCCUGCCUCCCGUGGCCCCUGAGCCGACCGAGGGAGUGGACCCUGCCCCUCACGGUCUCUGCCCUUGGGCCCUGGCCGGUGGCUGUUCUGUCCUGAGUGACUGAGCAGCUCCACCUGCCUCCUGGUUUUUGUGCUUGGCCCUGGCUGUGUCCUGGGGAGGAGCCCUCAGGACUUCUGCAGAGGGAGGGGACGUCGGCAGGGCUGUCAGCUCCUCCACCCUUUCACAGAAGGACCCAGCCACACACACGUGAGACCUGGUGCCCUCCAGGGAGCAGAGCACAGAGACCCGGUUAAUCUGGGCCACCUCUGCGAGUGCAGAUGCCACAAAAAUCCCUGGGCUGCAGGGCUGGGGACCCGCGGGGCACUGAGCGCCCCCAUGCCGGGAGGAGGCUCAGCCCAGCUCUGUGGGGACCCCCAGACCCUGCCUGUGCCUCUCUUCAUCUGGCCGCUCCUUCGGGUCCAUGAGAUCAGAAACCGCAAACAUCGGCAUUUCGGGGGACUCUGUGAGCCGCCCUAGCAGCCUGCUCAAACUUGGGGGUCAAGGAGGCCCCAGUUUAUAGCUGGUCCACCCACAGUACAGGUGACAGCCUGCCACUGUCUUUGUCUGACGCUGGGGCCGUCUUGGGACAGAGCCUUCGCCAGGAGAAGUCUGAGUCUCAGGCCUGGCUCCUGGGUGCUCCCAUAACAGGUCCACAUUCUCUCUACUUUUUCAGGCACUCAGUCAUUCAACAAGUGGACCUGAGCAGCUCCCGGUGCCCAGCCCAGGGCCUGUGGAUCUCCGUGUUGGUUUUGCCAGAAUGCAGGAAAGACUUGGCUUUGCUGGGCCUCCAGGGGUUGCUGGCCAGUAGGAGGAGUCGCCUGGGGCCCGGGGAGGGGUCGGCUCUGACCUCGCAGGCCCAGGCUCCGCCCUCGCAGGCGCAAGCUCUGCCCUCCACAGGCGCAGCCUCGGCUCGCAGGGCGCAGGGCGACCUGGGGGUUCCUCCGCAGGCUCCCAGGGUCCCCAGGUCCGAAAGCGCUGGCCGUGGCCGUGGUGGGCCGCUUGCGGGGAACUCAGUAGAUCCCUGCGCCACAAAAAUAAAAUACAAGUGCAGAAAGUUUUAUUUUGUGAACACUUACCGUCUGCCUUCUGAAUAGUCAUCUCAGAAUACUUAAAAAUGGAAGAAAGUAAAAAUAAUGGUGAUUCUGCAACCCCACGGGGGCGUUUGCCAGCGCCCGGUGCCUUCCACCGCCGCCCCAGUGCAGCUGCUUGCGAGGUGCGGGGUCUCCUAGUGCCGCGGGGCCGGAGGGGCCCGCUGUUCUCUGUGUGGACCUCUGCAGGGUCGUCCCGGACCACACCGCCCUGGGCACGGGCCGGGGCCGGGGCAGGACAAGCCAGGGACAGACGCACCGACACAGGAUCAACCAUGGGGACCAAGGACAAACAAGCUCCGGGCGCUCAGCCUGUUACUCGGGAGGAGCAGGAUUUGGUGCUGACGCUGGCAGCAUGUGUACUAAAGCUGGAAUGAUACAGAGCUCACCACAGCUCCUGUGCAAGGAUGGAGUGCAAAUUCAUGACGCUCUCAGAGGGGGAGGGGGAGGGGGAGGAAGAAUUCUCCUUCUGGGCCGAUUAGGUCUUAAAAUAUUGGUUUUACUAUUAAAACAAACCCCCAAACAGAAACAAAAACCAAAACCUGAAACCACGUGACUCUUCACUUGGUAUGGGUAACUAAAAGCAGAAUAAAGCUUGACCUGCAGUUGGUAAAACUCUGGGCCAAGUUCUUCUUUGCUCUGCAUAGAGACAUUUUGGUCCUUUGGGAAGCAUCCAUCUAAAAGUUGGCAAAACAAGGUUUACUGGCCCCAGAUUCACCUCGUCCCCCUUUAAGACUGAGGACGGCAAGAGUACCACAGUAAGUUUCAGGAUUUGCCGGGACAGCCGAUGGCCAGAUUUUGCAACAUCCAAUUCCAGGCCUCCCUGGAAUGCCACCCAGUCUCCUGACCUGUCAUCAGCCCAGCUUCCAGGACAGGCAGAGCUGUACAGACUCCCCCACGAUGAGGCACCUGCUCGAAGCAAGAACACUAUUACAGCUGUCAUCAAAAAGUCAGAUUAUGCAUGUACUGAAGAUGUCCAGAGGCUGGACUCCUGCAUUCCAGCUGGAAAAUGGUCAGGCCAUUUCUCAAAAUGCUACCCAUGUAGUUGGUAUUUGACCCAGCAAUUCUGUUCAUUGGUAUCUAUCUGUGAAAAUGAAAACGUGUCCACACAAAACAUGUGCACAGAUGUUCAUAGCAGGAUUAUUCAGCAUGAGCAAAACAUGUAAACAAUCCAAAGGCCAUCAGCAGAUGAAUGGCUACACAAAAUGCAGUGUAUUCACACAGAGGGGGGCCAGGGAUUUAGCUCAGUGGUUCUGCCGCCUGCCUCGCAAGCACAAAGCCCUGAGUUCAAUCUCUGGUGCCAGAAAAAAAAAAUCAAUUGUCACAUAGUGGGGUACUAUUUGGCCAUAAAGAGGGAUGAAGCAAUGCUAUAUACUAUAAUGGGGAUGAAUUUUGACAUUAUGGAGAGAUCCAGUCACAAAAGGCCACAUCUUGUAUGCUUCCCUGUAUGGGAAAUGUCCAGAAGAGGCAAAUCCACAGAAAAAGAGCGAGAUUAGUGGAUUCUAUCUAGGGUUGAAAGAAAACGGGGUUUGACUGCUAAUGAGUACAUGGCUUUCUGAGGUGAUGAAAAAGUUCUAAAUUUCAUGUUGGAGAUGUUUGCUUCAUCUGGAAGAACCUGUUGGUUGAGGCCACCACAUCCGGGGUGGUUCUUCCCUCCUCAGUUUCCAGCCUACCUGUCAAUCAUCCACAGACAUGCCCAGAGCUUUACUGAUCUCCUGGCCAGUUGUUUCUCCGUCACGUCUGCACUGACAUAUCGUAGUUAGCGAUCACAGAAGACUUAGUCUAAUCGGAGGUUGUGAGGAUUUACAUUGUUAUUUUCUUUUAAGACAGAGUUUUAGUUUUAACUCUUUCAAGUAGGCCUAUCAACCGUUCUGCAUUAGACUUCUAUAUGGGGCACUUUGAACAUGAUAUCUAGCUAUUUCAGCGCCAAAAGUUGGAAAGAAUGUCUCAUCCAUACUGAUUUGUUUUGGGGUUCAUCAAAAAUCAAUUAAGCUUGAAUAUAAUUUAUUUCUGGAGUCUUCAUUGCAUUCUGUUGAACUGCAUGCCAAGCUUUGUGCCAGUGCCGAAAAUGUCUUGACAUUUGUAGCUGUGUAUUGUGUUUUGAAAUCAGGGAGUGUGAGUCCUCCAAGUUUGAUUCUAUCUUUCAAAUUGGUUUUGCUGUUCUUGGUCCCUUGAAUUCUAUUUAAAUUUUAUGAUUAAUUUGUCAGUUUUUACCAAAAAAGCCAGAUGAGAUUGUUGACCAGAUAGCAAUGAAACUGUAGGUCAAUUUGGGGAACAUUAUCAUCUUAUAGCGUUAAGGCUUCCAAGGCCAGAAGCAUGAUGUUUUUCAUUUAUUUAAGACUUCUGGAAUUUCUUUCAAUAGUAUUUUGUAGUUCUCAAAAUACAAGUUUUACACACCUUCUGUUAAAUUUAUUCCUAAUAACUUAUUCUUUUUUGUUGUUGUUGUUGUUUGUUUGUUUUUGUUUUGUUACCAGGGAUGGAACGAGGGACCUUGCGUUUGCCAGGCAAGCGGCAGAACCACUGAGCUAAAUCCCCCGCCCUAACUUAUUCUUUUUGAUCUCAUUGCAAAUGUAAUUUUUCUUAAUUUCCUUUUAAGACCAUUCAUUUAAUAGUGCAUAAAAAUACAAAGACUUUUUGUAUAUUGAUUUUGUAUUCUGCUACCAUGCUAAUUCACUUACUCUCUUUUUUUCCAUCACAGUAGGAAUUGAACACAAGGCCCUCGCCCUGAACUACUUCCCCAGUUCUUUUUGUAUUUUUAAAUUUUGAGACAAGGUCUUGCUCAAUGUCACUAAGUUGCCCAGGCUGGCUUGAACCUGCAAUCCUCCUGCCUCAGCCUCCCAGAAUGCUAAGUUUAUAGUAUGAACCACCAUGCCCAGCGUACUUAUUAUCUUUGAUAAUAUUUUUUAGUGAUUACGUAGGAUUUUUUAUAUGUAACAUUAUGUUACCUGUGAGUAGAGUCUGGUCUUAUUUUUUCUCUUCCAAUAUGAAUUCUGAGUAUUUCUUUUUCUUGCCUAGUUGCUCUGGCAAGAACUUCCACUGCACUACUGAAUUAUAAAACAGCAGAAGCAGACAUUCCUGACUCGAUCCUGAUUCAGGAGGAAAGAAGGCAGUCUUUCACCAUAGGAAUGCUACGUGCUUUUCUCGGAUGAGAUUCAGAUUGAGAAAGUUCUUUCCUAUUCCUAAAUUAAUGAGUAUUUUUACCAUGAAAGGAUACUGGAUUUUCCCAGUGCAUUUCCUGCACUUAUUGAGAUGAUAGUGUGUUUUUUGUUUUUUGUCCUUUUUGUGGCCUUUCUAUUGACAACUUAUAUUACAUUAACUGAUUUUUGGAUGUUAAACCAACCACAAUGCUGGACAAAUUCCACCUGACUGUAUGUUGUUGGACUCAGUUUGCUAGUGUUUUAUUGAAGAUUUUUAUACCUAUAUUCAUAAAUGAUAAUGUUCUAUAGUUUUCUUUUCUGAAGGUGUCACAGGAUAAUGAUACAUCUGGCUUUGGUAUCAAGAUAAAGCUGGCCUCAUAGAAUGAGAAGAGAUUUUUUUCCCUUCUCUUUAAUUUUUUUUUUUUUUUUUGGUACCAGGGAUUGGACUCGGGUCCUUGCGCUUGUGCAGCAGGCAGCGAAACUACUGAGCUAAAUCCCCGGCCCCCGUUCUGUUCAAUAUUUUGAAGAGUUUGUAAAAGUAGGUUUUAGAACUUAAAAGUAUUUUGGAGAAUUCACCAGUGAAGUUAUCCAGGCCUUUGUGGAAAAUAAUCACUAAUUUAAGUUCUUGUUAUAGAUCUACUUAGGUUUUCUAAUUCUUCCUGAGUCACUUUUGUCAGUUUGCAGUUUUCUAGAAAUCUAAUUUUGUCUACUUUGUUUGACUUGUUGGCACAUAGUUUUCUUCGUACUCUGUUAUAAGCCUUUCAUUUCUGUAAGAUUGGUACUGCUGUCUCCCAUCUUUAUUGCUAUACCUUAAUUUACUGUAUGAACCACCAGAAUGUAUUUGUUCUAUCUGCUGUGGGUAGAUAUAUGGGCAGUUACCUGGCCCAUUCUUCCAUUCUUUGGUUUCAUAACAAUUGUUCUUAUAUGCCAAGGACUCCUCUUUCUGGUGACAUUUCUUGGGAGCCUCAGGAUAUUGCCCAAUGAACUUGGCACAAAGAAACUUGGAAAACAUUUCUGCUUUCACCCUGGCCACACUGAAGGCAGGAUUGCUUCUGUCUUUGACCCUGAGAUCUUCCCAGAUCUGGCUGGCAUUCCAGGAUUGGCUUGUGGAACUGGACUUUGCACCUUGUCAGGCACAUGAAGGCAGUAAAUGUUCCUGAGUGUGCACAGGUGUGACCACAUCCCUAGAUGCUUCUGUGUGGGAGGCAUGGGGGAAGGUGGGGAACGUCCCGAGGUGGCGUCUGGUUGGAGGAAGUAGUCACUGGGGGCUGCCUUGUGAGGGUAUGUUUGUCCCUGGCCUCUGUGGCUCUCUUUCUGCCCCCUGGGCCCAUGAGCCGAGCUGCUUUGCUCCGCCUGGCCAUGGACCUCAGCAAUGCAACCAGUGAACCAUGACCUGAGCCCUGAAACCAUGAGCCAAAACAAGUCUUGCUUCUUUUAGGUUGAAUUCCUCAAGUAUUUUGUCACAGUGACAAAAAGCUACCAUGUUUCCUGACUAUAAUAUUCUCUGAUUAACUGACUCUAUCCUCAUGUUAUCACACACCUGACAAGCUUGUAAUAAGGAGAGCCGGAGUGGGGAGUUUUUGUUGCUUCUUGUGUAAGUUUUUUUUCCUGUAACAAAAUGCCCAAGGUAGCUAACUUGCUCAGUUCUGGAGGUUUUGGUCCAUGGUCAGGUGGGUUGCUGGUUUGUUGGUUUGUGUGAGGUAGGACAUCGUGGAGGGGACAUAUAACAGGGGAAUUUUUCACCUCAGGAUGCCAGAAACCAAAGGAGAAGAGGGUCAUCCUUCAGGUCACCCCAGAUGACCUAACUUGCUCCAGCUGGGCCCCACACCUUAAAGGUCAUACCACCUUCCAGUAGCACCAGGGACUGAGGACUGAGAUUGUCAUGGAAGGGCCUUUGGGGACAUUUAUCAGCCACGACACUUCUCAUCCGAAUCCCAUUGACCUUUGGAAGCUUUUCAUUAAUAGGCCUAAUAAUUAGCUAGAGAAAUUCCAGGGCCUGGACUUGUGGGCUCCCAGGGUGACCCCAGAAACCACAUGGGUUCCUCCAAGGAGUCAAAAUCCUAAAGUGCAUACAUUACUGCACAUAUGGUGGGGGAAGCUGGUUCUUUUUCGCUGUCCUCAAGUAUUUAAACAAUUUGUCAAAGCUUGGACUGGAAGGGAACAUUGAAAACCAGUGUACUUAGAGCAGGAAAAAUGCAGGGUGUGAGAGGAAACAUUUGUCCUCACAAUGGCCUUUGAGUAGGGGAGCCAAUUGGGCAGAAGAUGAAUUCUUCAAAUUUAAUGAAAUUAUUCGUGCAACAAAAGAAGGAAAUAAGAGCUGUGUAGGGCAUAUGUGAGAUUUCCUCUUCCUUUUACUGGACAUCUAGCAGAGUCCCGGGCUCUGGCUGGGCCUUUCUGGUUCCACAGCUCUCAACGCUGUCCUGGUACCAAGGCAACUCCCUCUGAAAAUGCUCAGUGAGGAGAGAACCUUCUUCCUGACCCUGAAUCCCUCCUUUGGACCUCUGUGUGUCACUAGAUUCCAACCCCCUCCCCUCGAUCUUCACUGGGUUCCACUUAUAUGCAUGUGUUUGUACAUUUGGGCACACAUGUUUUACACAUUUGACUGUAAGCUUCUAGCACUUUGUAAACCUAGGAGUCUUGCAUAUAAUAAAUAUUUGGUCACAAUUUACAGACGUUACUAUUAACUUUUUUUGGUAGUACUGAGGACCUGCAGAGGACGAUAGCAUUGAUUAUGCCCAAGGCAGGCUGUGAAGAGCCAACCCCACAGUCAGCUUGUUUAUAGAAGUGAGUCCGGCUGAAGCCUACGUGCUGAGGUCAGAGUAACUCGCACCCAAAUUCCAUUCCCACAACUAAAACCUUCAGAUUAGAAGGACAGUGUUCUAAUCACAAUCAUAUAUUUUGUCUAUUCUGUUCCUAAUUUGAGAGUGCCAUGUCUUGUCCUUCACAAGCCUUGUUUACAUUAAUUUCCAUAGAAACCACUCAUUGCUCGCCUUUACCCCAGUUGAUUGCCUAUAAAAGUCAGUGCCUGGGACUGGCCAGGGCCUUUGUCGGUUGCAUUGCAUUGGUCGUCCUGGCUCCCUGCUUUCUCUCCUAGUUCUGUCUCUUUGUGCAUUUAUUUCUCAGACCUGCAUCAUAUACUGGGCAGGUGAGGACUGGAACCCGACUGACUACAGAGGUCUCCAGCAAUUGGUGCCCAUUGUGGGGGCUUGAACUAUAAGCAAUCACCUGCUCAGUGAGGCUACUCAGGGUAAAGAGGAAGAAAAGAAAAAGGAAAAAAAGGAAUCCAGGAUGCAGUGCACCUCACAUCAAGAUAAGGAAGUCUAAACAUGAAGCACAAAACCCUGGAAAAAAGAGGUAGAUGCUUCAGAUGCAAGACGGUAGUAAAGGUAGUCAGCUGGGACCAAAACAUGAGGAAAUCACUUUCAGCCCAAGCUGGCCUGCAGUGUUGAACUAAGUGCUGCAAAAGGUAAAUAUAGCCAUCAUUUUUCACCAACAAGAACUUUAGAUAUGGAACUUAGGCAGCGUGUCAAAAAUAACAUCCAGACAACUCAGCAGAGAAGAGAAGUUAUCUCCCCUGAGACUUUAACUGAGACCUUGACAGCUUGGAGCUUUGUGCGCUCUGUUUUGCGGCCCGAACAGUGAAGCCUGGGAGCCGCUCAAGCUUCUGUUUUGCGGCAAUGAGCCGCCGGUGAGAACUGUUUAGUUUUGUUCUUAGAACAACUGCUCCCCAAAUCUGCUGUCUUUCACAAAGCGGACCUGCCUCUCAGGAAAUGUGACAUCGUUACAGGCAAACCCCAGUGCUCCCCUCUGGAGGAGGCCAAGCUUCCUCCCCCUUGACUUGAGCUGCAAGCUCACAGGUGCGGAGGAGGUGGGUAAAAAGCAUGAGGAGAACUGCUUGGCUUCCAUGCACUGGGAAGUGCCAUGGUCACACUCAGAAAAAAUCAAAACUUGCACUCAGAUUGGGAAGAACUGAAAUGAGAAAAUAAAUAAUGGAUUGAAAACAGCUAGAAACGCUUUGGAAAGCAUAAAGCAAAACAAUGAGAAAAACACUCCUGGCUGUAAGAGCCAUGGCCAGCGCUGCGUUAUCAGCCUGAUGCUGCCUGCAAAGGUCUGGAAUCCAAUACAAAGCCAGGGAAACUGCAACUGGUCUCUACCAGACAUAGAGAUUUUAUAAGAGAAAUCAAGCUACAAAUUUUAGCUAAUUGAUAAAUGUAUCUUUGUUAUAAUUUGCGUUGAUGUUUAAUUGGUGUGCCUAAAACAUUUCUUGUGCAUUGCAAAUUCUUGCAUUGUAAUUAUAGGGUUAACUUGUUCUUUUCUGUACUUUGUUGAUGAAGAACUCAAAGUUACUGCUGUUCUAUUGGCAGCCAGUCAAAUUUUAAAUUGUAACAAUCUCAGAACAGAAAAAAAAGAGACACUUUAAAAUUUUAACAGCUGAAGACAAGUUUUUAAUAGAAGAUUUAUAGUAAGUGAGAUGGAGGAAAAAUAUUAAAAAGGCUAUAAGUAAAAGAUAUUUUUGUUGGUACUGGAUAUCAAACUUGGGACCUUGCACUUGCACAGCAGGCACCAGACCCACUGAGCUAAAUCCCUGGCCCAAGAGAUAUAUUUUUGAUAUGAAAGGAUUUUUCUUUUUGCGGGGGUACUGUGGAUUGAACUUGGGACCUUGCGCUUGCAAGGCAGGCAGCAGUACCACUGAGCUAAAUCCCCAGCCCCGAUAUGAAAGGAUUUUGUAUGUUUGUCUUAUUAGAAGAAUAAAGAGAGAUAUACAAGAUCAGAAGGCCUAGGUAUGUUGAGAAGGUGUGUGGAAGUGAUUUAUCAAGAAAAUAUGUAUAUUUGCUUAUUGGCUUCAAGUUUGUUAUAAAAGGUUUGCAUUUACAGGCAUAAAGAGCUUUCAUUCUUUCCAGUUCUACAAGAGAUCUCUGUUAAUUGACUUACAAAGAGUUUUGACCAGUCUUAUUUACAAUUAUGAACCUAAAAAUUAUGAAAGGAUUUAUAAUUCAAUUAAGCUAAAUAUCUAGUUUUAUAAAUUGUCUUAUGUUUGUUUGUUUGCCCGUUUGUCUGUCCAACUGUACAGUUGUGUUGUUUAACAAGUUUAUUCCUUUAAAAAAUUUUUUUUAAAAAGAUAUUUGCUUAUAAUCUAAAUUGGCUUGUAGAUAAAGGUUAUGAAACUUAAAGGCAUGUAUUAUCCCCACCCCAGUUGCUAACAGAUCAAAAUGAUGUAAUAUAUAUUGUUGUCUAAUAUAAUCACUCCAAAACAUUAAUUGGUGGGCUGGAGUUUUAGCUCAGUGGUACUGCCACUUGCCUCGCAAGCACAAGGACCCGAGUUCGAUCCCUAGUACCUAAAAACCCCCACAUGAAUUGGUUACAAAUAAUGUAUUAAUUGUUACAAUCUGGUUUUUACAGGUUAUUAAGUAAGCUUUGUCAAAGGAAUUAAUGAAGAUCCAUAGGUUUAGAGAGAUUGCUAAACAGGACUCCUCUUGGUGAAUACAAGAGCGGCCAUGUGGAAAUAUUUUCCAGCCUUUGCUCACUAGGGGAACCUCAACAGUUUGUAUACUCUUACAACAGACUGAUCCUGAUAGUUUUCAUAGCCUUAAAAGAGACUUACAUCAAUGAAUAUUACUUUAAAAUGUUAUUGUAAUAUGAUUACAUUGGUUGUCAUCAAAGGCUUAAGCUCUAAAUAUGUUAUGUGAUAUGUUUACACUGGUCAUCUUCAAAAGAUUGAAUUUUCUGUGAAAACAAAGCAAGGUUUUAUUGAAAAGAUGCUUUUUACCAAACUAAAUUAGAGGGUAUAAGGUUUCACAUAUAUAACUGUGGUAAUUAUUAUUGUUAACUUUCUGGUGUACUAAAUGUAUUUACGCUUUCUGACUGUACAGGUUUUCUAAUAUAUUGUUUAUGAUAAUAACCUUCUUUUGAUUCAGGUAUUUGCCAUUCUAUUAUACUCCAGCUACUUACGAUAAGAGGUACAUUUAUAAGCUGAUGUAUUUUGUUUAGACGGCAUCCCAUCAAAAGACAACAAUUUGGAUAAUAAUGUUUUGAGUUUUUGGAAGAGAAUGAGUGCAUUUAACAAUGGCUAUUUUAUACCAAGAUGGACACUUAAGUGUGUUACAAAGAUAAUGCCAUCAUGAUUGUCAUGCUAAAAUAUUAUGUGUGGCUCUUGAUUUGAAACUUUUUUUUCUGUUAACAUUUUACAGGAAUUUAAUGGCUAGAACAACCAUGAUUGGUAAUAAUAACAGUCUUCUAACUAUACUUUAUAUUUCAAAGUGCUUGAUAUCCAGGGGCCGGGGAUUUUAGCUCAGUGGUUCCAGUGCCUGACUUGUAAGUGCAAGGUCCUGAGUUUGAUCCCUGGUGCCAACAAAAAAAAAGUGCUUGAUAUCCAGAUAAAAUUAUGACAGUUAAGUUCACUACUCCCAUUGCAAUGCUAAUGUUAUUGAUAUUCUGUUCUGGGUGUUCAACAACUAAUGCUUAGAUACCAGAAUUAAAAAGAUGACUUGUGGUAAGAAGACAGCCAAUAUUUUGGCCCUGACCCUUCAAGGUCUACAAAUAACCCAGAAAGUGAAGAACAUUUUCUACCUGAUCCUCUCGUUAUUUUGCUUUACCAACUUUGCUCUACCAACUUUGUUAAGUCACCCAACCUCCUGAGCAGAGAGAUUGUUGGACACCAAAAAGAUAAGAAUCAAGAGUGUGCCAAAGGAGUGUCACUUGUAGGGAAAAAUCUCCCACGCUUUCACAGAAAGCAACAUGGUCAAGCAAGCCCAUGACACACCCUGAUGGCUGACACGACAGGAGUUGAAAAGCUCUAUGCAAGGUUCAAGUCAUGUCUGUGGAGACUUAAUUGACCUUGAUAGACUCCAAGAGGUUACUUUUAAUUAAUGUAGGUCUCACCUUAACUUGCUCUUGAACACCCAGUAGAAAAGCAUAAUCCAAAGAUAGAUAAAGUCAGGACCAUAGUAAUACAG
rnacentral:lncRNA from 1 species